GUUGGUGGAGUGAUUUGUCUGGUUAAUUCCGUUAACGAACGAGACCCCCGCCUGCUAAAUAGUCAUAUGAAUGCUUAGCAUUGAUGUUGGCUUCUUAGAGGGACUUUCGGUGACUAACCGAAGGAAGUUGGGGGCAAUAACAGGU
rnacentral:rRNA from 1 species